rnacentral:rRNA from 1 species
UUAAACUGAAGAGUUUGAUCAUGGCUCAGAUUGAACGCUGGCGGCAGGCCUAACACAUGCAAGUCGAGCGGAAACGAUGGGAGCUUGCUCCCAGGCGUCGAGCGGCGGACGGG